GGCGAACGCUGGCGGCGUGCCUAAUACAUGCAAGUGGGACGCAAGGACACACACUGUGCUUGCACACCGUGUUUUCUUGAGUCGCGAACGGGUGAGUAACGCGUAGGUAACCUGCCUAUUAGCGGGGGAUAACUAUUGGAAACGAUAGCUAAUACCGCAUAAUAUUAAUUAUUGCAUGAUAAUUGAUUGAAAGAUGCAAGCGCAUCACUAGUAGAUGGACCUGCGUUGUAUUAGCUAGUUGGUAAGGUAAGAGCUUACCAAGGCGACGAUACAUAGCCGACCUGAGAGGGUGAUCGGCCACACUGGGACUGAGACACGGCCCAGACUCCUACGGGAGGCAGCAGUAGGGAAUCUUCGGCAAUGGACGAAAGUCUGACCGAGCAACGCCGCGUGAGUGAAGAAGGUUUUCGGAUCGUAAAGCUCUGUUGUAAGUCAAGAACGUGUGUGAGAGUGGAAAGUUCACACAGUGACGGUAGCUUACCAGAAAGGGACGGCUAACUACGUG
rnacentral:rRNA from 1 species